AGAUCUACAUCACCCUAUUCAGCUGGAGAGGAGUUAUGACAGCAAAAAAAAUAAUAAUGAUAAUAAUUGGGCGCGUGCGGUAGAACAGAAGUCGAAGAGGCAAGUCAGAAAUUUCAACACAGGUAAUCAUUAUACAACCUUCUUAACGCCAUUAUUUACGCCAUUAGUCAGUAGUCGACGGUUGGAGAUUUCAUAGAUGCAACAGACGUGAUUUCUGAUUUUUCUUUAGCAAUAUAAAUCGAAAUUGACAUCUCUAAUCUCCACUUCCGUAAUCAUCUGUGAUUUGUUAUGCUCUAAUCUUCGUUUAAGCUUUAGUCUGUCACUUGCGGAGACACAAUAUCAAUUCUAUUCUCGCUGCUCGUGUUUUUUGUCUACAGGUUGUUAUAAUGAAGAUUUUAGAGUUAAGUUAGAGGUUAUCUUCCUAUCUUCAGUUAUUAUGGGAUUGGGCAAAACUAAGUUCAAAUUUGUAUUCCGACUUUUAGAGACAAUGGUUACUUUUUAUCGCAAAAACACAUUUGGAUUCGAGUGAAAAUAUUCGAUGCCCUGUUUGAAUACAUUAGCUUGGCUGUAGCACAAAAAGUUAAAUUUAUAUUUGUUUGGUCACAUUUACAGUUUGAGUUUUCAAUUGUUUAUUUUUAGUAUGCUCUUCUUUUGACUUUGCCGUAGAAUACUUGAGUGUUUAGUUACCUUCAAGGUUUUAACACUUUGAUUGCUUAACAUUAAUUUGUAAUUGUUUAGUUAUUAAUCUGUUUUAAGGAUUUAAAUUUUUAUUGUUUAGUUAUUGUUAGAAUUGUUCAUAUAGACUUCAAGGAUGUACAUAGAUGAUUUGAAGCUCUAUACAAACCAACAAUAACUGUUCACUGUGCGAGAUUAUACACAUCAUAAAUUCUCCAUAUAGGUUUGCAUAUUAUAUAUUUGAGGCAGGAAACAAAGUUUAAAAGUUCAAAAGUAAAAACUCAAAAGUUUAAUGCUAAUCUUAG
rnacentral:lncRNA from 1 species